GGUUUUAUAGUCAAAUAUGAUUUUAGAUUGCAAAUCUGAAGGUGCUUAUAGCUAAAGCCU
rnacentral:tRNA from 1 species